AAAUUGAAGAGUUUGAUCAUGGCUCAGAUUGAACGCUGGCGGCAGGCCUAACACAUGCAAGUCGAACGGUAACAGAAAGCAGCUUGCUGCUUUGCUGACGAGUGGCGGACGGGUGAGUAAUGUCUGGGAAACUGCCUGAUGGAGGGGGAUAACUACUGGAAACGGUAGCUAAUACCGCAUAACGUCGCAAGACCAAAGAGGGGGACCUUCGGGCCUCUUGCCAUCGGAUGUGCCCAGAUGGGAUUAGCUUGUUGGUGGGGUAACGGCUCACCAAGGCGACGAUCCCUAGCUGGUCUGAGAGGAUGACCAGCCACACUGGAACUGAGACACGGUCCAGACUCCUACGGGAGGCAGCAGUGGGGAAUAUUGCACAAUGGGCGCAAGCCUGAUGCAGCCAUGCCGCGUGUAUGAAGAAGGCCUUCGGGUUGUAAAGUACUUUCAGCGGGGAGGAAGGGAGUAAAGU
rnacentral:rRNA from 1 species